UAGACGACGACGCAGCAGCUGA
rnacentral:miRNA from 1 species